rnacentral:rRNA from 1 species
UAGGGAAUAUUGGGCAAUGGACGAAAGUCUGACCCAGCCAUGCCGCGUGCAGGAAGAAGGCCUUCUGGGUUGUAAACUGCUUUUAUCUGGGAAGAAAAAACUCUUGCGAGAGGAACUGACGGUACCAGAUGAAUAAGCACCGGCUAACUCCGUGCCAGCAGCCGCGGUAAUACGGAGGGUGCAAGCGUUGUCCGGAUUUAUUGGGUUUAAAGGGUGCGUAGGCGGCCCGUUAAGUCAGUGGUGAAAGCCUCCAGCUCAACUGGAGAACUGCCAUUGAUACUGACGGGCUUGAGUACAGACGAGGUUGGCGGAAUUGAUUGUGUAGCGGUGAAAUGCAUAGAUACAAUCAAGAACACCGAUUGCGUAGGCAGCUAACUAGGCUGUAACUGACGCUGAGGCACGAAAGCGUGGGGAGCGAACAG